AUGCCACAACCUUGCACUGUCAAAAUGAAGCUGUGUAACAGAGACAUUGAGCUGUUAGCGGUGGGCAUGAGGCCAUUCUACCUGCCACGGGAGUUCACACACGUUAUAAUAAUUGCUGUGUACCCACCCUCCGCUAACGCUGACACAGCUUCUGAGACCCUGCUCUCAUUCACCAGCAGGCUGCAAACACAGCACCCACAUGCCCUCUUCCUGAUCUCUGGGGACUUUAACCAUGCACCUCCUUCAGCUGCUCUGCCUACAUACACCCAGUAUGUGAUCUGCCCCACCAGAGACAAUAAAACACUGGACUUAUUCUACGCCAAUACCAAAGAGGCCUACACUGCAUCCUCCCUCCCACCGCUGGGCAGAGCUGACCACAACAUCCUGCAUCUCCUGCCUGUGUAUAAACCUGUUGUACUCAGGCAGCUGGUGGUGCCCCGCACAGUGAAGAGGUGGACAGCUGAGAGCGAGGAGGCUCUCAGGGACUGUUUUAACACCACUGUGUGGACGGAGCUCUGCGAUCCACAUGGGGAGGACAUUAACCCAAUAACAGACUGUGUAACGGAUUACAUCAACUUCUGCUGUGAAAACACUGUUCCCACCAGGCGGGUUCGGUGUUUCACCAACAACAAGCCAUGGGUCACCUCUGAUAUUAAAGCUCUGCUAAAGGAGAAGAAGAGAGCAUUUAAAUCAGGGGACAGGAAGGGGCUGAGGAGGGUGCAGAAGGAGCUGAGGAGGAAAAUCUGUGAGGGGAAGUCCAGCUACAGGAGGAAGAUGGAGGAGCAGCUGCAGCAGAACAAUGUCAGUGAGGUGUGGAGGAGCCUGAAAACCAUCUCAGGCUUCAAAGCUCCACCCCCACAGGCUGAGGGGGACCUGAGCUGGGUCAACGAGCUGAACUCACACUUUAAUAGGUUUGACCAAGCACCCACUUACACCUCCCAGCAGCUGCCUCCAAACAUGUUGUCACCUCAUACCACUGGAUUACCACCCCCCACAGCCCUUCACACCUUUACACAAAGCCCCCUACACUCAGCCCUGACGACUGGUGACUCAUCCCAACAACACCCCUCUCACUUCACACCACACUGA
rnacentral:lncRNA from 1 species